AAACUAACAAGGAUUCCCCUAGUAGCGGCGAGCGAAGCGGGAAAAGCUCAAAUUUGUAAUCUGGCGCCUUCGGCGUCCGAGUUGUAAUCUCGAGAAAUGUUUUCCGUGUUAGACCGCAUACAAGUCUCUUGGAACAGAGCGUCAUAGUGGUGAGAACCCAGUACACGAUGCGGAUGCCUAAUACUUUGUGAUACAUUUUCGAAGAGUCGAGUUGUUUGGGAAUGCAGCUCAAAUUGGGUGGUAAAUUCCAUCUAAAGCUAAAUAUUGGCGAGAGACCGAUAGCGAACAAGUACCGUGAGGGAAAGAUGAAAAGCACUUUGGAAAGAGAGUUAACAGUACGUGAAAUUGUUGGAAGGGAAACACAUGCAGUCAGACUUGCUAUUCGGGGCAACUCGAUUGGCAGGCCCGCAUCAGUUUUUCGGGGCGGAAAAGCAUAGAGAGAAGGUAGCAGUUUCGGCUGUGUUAUAGCUCUUUAUUGGAUUCGCC
rnacentral:rRNA from 1 species